CCCAAUCGCCUCAAUUUGCCUCAGGAAAACAUGAGAAGUAGAUUGGUAAAUUUUACUUCAAACAACCAAACAAAAGGAACACUGUGAGGAGGGUGAGAUGCUGUGGUAGCCUGGAGCUUUAAAUCAGGUAUGAUGACUUGGGAAACUGUGUCCAAGUCUGUGCCUCAUCCGUGGGGUGACCAGGCUUCAUCAGCUCCUGGCACGCCCCUUAAAGCAAGGUAUUGUUGACUGGGGAGAUUGGUUGGUUUAACUUUUCACCUCACUGGAAUUUUUUUCCUUUCACGGACUUAGGGUUUUGUCUUGCUUUGGUGUGGUUUGGUUUGGUUUGGUUUGGCCUGGUUUGGCUUUUCUUUGCUCUUCAACUCUGGCUACCAGCUGCCUUAUGGCAAGCUGCGGUUACCCCUACCUCAUCUAGAGAAAGUGCAGCUGGGGUGGAGAAAACAAAAAUGGCAUAUCCGCCGUGUAUUUUUUUCACCAUUGCUUUCCCUGUCAUUUUUCUGGGGGGAAAGAAGUCUACGCAGUGACGGUUUCUAUUCCACCAUGGCCCACUCACCCCCACAACCCAGUUCAAAACACACCCAUUGCCUGUAGAUGCCUCGAAACCGUCUCACUUUUGUGCAGAGAUGUUUACACCCUGCUUGAGAUCUAGAAAGUUAUUUGUUAGCCCUCCUGCUGCAUCAGCCCAUAACUUUGCCCAAGUUUCACUUGGCUUAACAGCUAUUCUUUAUGUGGGGCAUAGUAGCCGUUUCUUAGUUUCAGUGUGGAUGGAAUUUUCUUUUGUUUUCCUUCAUUCAAAUUCAUGGGCUUGGCGCAAAGGAGUGAAGCAAAUAUACCUUGCCUUCACCAUCUUCCGCUGGAAACCCUGAAUCUAGAGUGAGCUUUUAGAAAUCCAGACGCGGCCCUGCCCCUCCCAUGGUGAAAGUCUUUGGCUGGCUUCCCGCUGCCAUUCAAAGUCUCUAAGCCCCAGGGUAGCUUACAAGGCGCUUCGUGACCUGCCUUCCCCUUAGCUCUCCAGGGUCAUCUUGCUUCUGGCUCCCCAAAUCUAGGAUGCCCCCCUCAUCUCACCUUCUUUUAUCCUUUGACGAUAACAUUUAUUGUUCUUUUACCAAUUACUAAAGCAACUGCCUUCGACGGUAGAGAAUUGGAAAAUAUAGAGAAGUAUGAACAAGCAAAGAAAAUCACUGUAAUCAUGCUUCCUCAAAGAUACCACUGAUAACAUUUUGUCUCAUUUUAGUCCAGCAUUGUUUCUAUGCAUAACAUCCAAAUAUUAUUUUUAUGUGACAUUAUAUGAUAUAUGUGUGUGUGUGUGUAUAGACAUCUAAUUUGUAGGCGGCAAUUAGAGUCUUUUAGACUUCUUCCACUUCACAUUUUAUUAUAAGCAUCAUAUUCAUUAUAUUUUAAGUUACAGUGAAUAUUAAUAAGCGUUUACUAUGCACCGAGUACUACUUGGCUAAGUACUUUACAUGUUUUUUCUCGUUUAAUCCUUGCAACCCCCUGUGAGGCACUAUGAUGUUCCCGUUUCCCAGAGAAAGCCAUCAAGGCUUAGAGAGGUUAAGUAACUUGCUCAAAGUCACACAGCUGCUAAUUGUUGGAGCUGGGACUUGAACCCAGAUGUAGAAAACUCCAAAACUCUCUUGAGGUGUCAAUAGAAUAUUUUUGUAAACAUUGUUAAAUGUUGAAUAGAUACAAAGGAAUCAUUGUAACUUAUAUGUAAGGGAUAAAGAAUCAUGGUACAAUGUACAAAAGUAUCACCCACCACCCAGUUAAAGGCAAAUGUGCUUGCUGGACAGUUCUUCAAAGUGGCCUUUGUUGAAAUGAUCACAGUUGAAAUUAACUAAUGUAUGGGUCCUAGGGUUAAAAUUCCUCAGGUAAAAGAGGCAGUGGUUUCCUCAGUCCCUCAGAGUGUGGCAGGCCCUUUGCCUCUCUAGGCAGUCAAGAUCAGUCGGUUGCUGUAAGCCCCAGUUCUGGUGGAUGGACUCCUUCCCCAGCCUCAGGAAACUUCUGCACUGCGAGAGGCUGGAGAACUCAGAGCAAGGCCACCUCAGUGAGGUCAACUGAGCAGCCCUGAGAGCAGUGGUAUCAGGUGGGCAGUGAUUCGGGCAUAUGCAGGGUGAGUGCUGAUGAGUGCUCUGGGUGGACGAAGCAAGGCUCCUGCCUAACCAGGCGCAGCCCCAGUGAUGGCAGUAGGAAAAGUUGAGCAGCUCAGGUGAGGGGACAACUUUCAUUGCAACCUAACUGAGUGACUCGGAAUCAUUCUAGGAGAAGUUGAGGACAUUGAGGUUUUAGGAGCCCGGUGAAGUCCAGGGGACCUAGCGCCAAAGGUAUUUUUGUCACCACAGCCAUUUUACCCACACCCUCCUGGCUGAUGUGGGCUGAGCCAUCAAGAAUUAAUCAGUAUUUCGUAAAAGACAAGUUUCACUUGCCAGACUACUUCCUUCACUCAACUGUGGUGGAUCUCCUAUCGCUGUCUAUUGUGCCACAGGGUAAACUCUACAAUUGCAUGUAUUGGAGUUUCCGGGUGGCUCAGUAGGUCAAGGAUCUGGUAUUGUCACUGCUGUGGCUCUGGUUCCAGCUGUGGCGUGUGUUCAGUCUCUGGCCUGGGAACUUCCACAUGCUACAGGCACAGCCAAAAAAAUAAAAA
rnacentral:lncRNA from 1 species